CUUGCUCUUUUAAUAUUGGUAUCUCUUUCUUUGUGUUCACUCUCUGGCUAUAAAAUUCUUCUUUCCCACAUCUCCGAUUGAGUGGUGCUCAUUAAGAGCGGUGUGUUCAAUGGAGGCGGACGUCGCGGACGCAAUGUUCUUUAGAAAAAGGUAAGUUGGCUAAUUCUUGUUAAUUCUUGCCUUGCCAUACAGCAUGCCUGUUUUAUUUGUUGUAACUGUAUGUAAAAGAAAAUAUACGUACCUCUAUCUAAUGUCUUGCACCUAUUUUUUCACAGGUAAACGACUCUUAAGAAAAGUAGAAACACAAGGAUCAAAAUUAAAUUCAGAACGAACCAUCGAAGGAGUAGUGGCGAACAUACACAAGGACCAACAUUUAAUUUAGGUAAACGAGUCACACGAGGAG